rnacentral:rRNA from 1 species
AUUGAACGCUGGCGGCAGGCCUAACACAUGCAAGUCGAGCGGUAGAGAGGUGCUUGCAUCUCUUGAGAGCGGCGGACGGGUGAGUAAUGCCUAGGAAUCUGCCCUAGUGGUGGGGGAUAACGUUCGGAAACGGACGCUAAUACCGCAUACGUCCUACGGGAGAAAGCGGGGGAUCUUCGGACCUCGCGCCAUUAGAUGAGCCUAGGUCGGAUUAGCUAGUUGGUGAGGUAAUGGCUCACCAAGGCGACGAUCCGUAACUGGUCUGAGAGGAUGAUCAGUCACACUGGAACUGAGACACGGUCCAGACUCCUACGGGAGGCAGCAGUGGGGAAUAUUGGACAAUGGGCGGAAAGCCUGAUCCAGCCAUGCCGCGUGUGU